GAUGAAGAACGUAGCGAAAUGCGAUAAGUAAUGUGAAUUGCAGAAUUCAGUGAAUCAUCGAAUCUUUGAACGCACAUUGCGCCCGCCAGUAUUCUGGCGGGCAUGCCUGUUCGAGCGUCAUUUCAACCAUCAAGCCCCAGGCUUGUGUUGGGGACCUGCGGCUGCCGCAGGCCCUGAAAACCAGUGGCGGGCUCGCUGUCACACCGGGCGUAGUAGAUUUUAUCUCGCUCAGGGCGUGCCGCGGGUUCCGGCCGUUAAAAAGCCUUUUUUACCCAAGGUUGACCUCGGAUCAGGUAGGAAGACCCGCUGAACUUAAGCAUAUCAAUAAGCGGAGAA
rnacentral:misc_RNA from 1 species